CCUACGGGAGGCAGCAGUGAGGAAUAUUGGUCAAUGGGCGCGAGCCUGAACCAGCCAAGUCGCGUGAGGGAUGACGGUCCUACGGAUUGUAAACCUCUUUUGCCGAGGAGCAAGCUUGCGUUCGUGACCGCGCUUCUAUAGUACCCGUAGAAAAAGCACCGGCUAACUCCGUGCCAGCAGCCGCGGUAAUACGGAGGGUGCGAGCGUUAAUCGGAAUUACUGGGCGGAAAGCGCUCGUAGGCGGUAUUGCAAGUCAAGGGUGAAAUCGUCGCUCUCAACGGGGGAAAUGCCUUUGAAAUUGGCAAACUGGAGUGUGUGAGAGGAUAGGUGAAU
rnacentral:rRNA from 1 species